GACGAACGCUGGCGGCGUGCUUAACACAUGCAAGUCGAGCGCUGAAGCCUGCUUUGGUGGGUGGAUGAGCGGCGAACGGGUGAGUAACACGUGGGUGACCUGCCCCCUACUCUGGGAUAAGCCUGGGAAACUGGGUCUAAUACCGGAUAUGACUGCUGGUUGCAUGACUGGUGGUGGAAAGCUUGGUUUUGGCUUUGUGGUGGGGGAUGGGCCCGCGGCCUAUCAGCUUGUUGGUGGGGUGAUGGCCUACCAAGGCGGCGACGGGUAGCCGGCCUGAGAGGGCGACCGGUCACACUGGGACUGAGACACGGCCCAGACUCCUACGGGAGGCAGCAGUGGGGAAUAUUGCGCAAUGGGCGGAAGCCUGACGCAGCGACGCCGCGUGGGGGAUGACGGCCUUCGGGUUGUAAACCUCUUUCGAUCGGGACGAAGGGUUUCUGACGGUACCGGUAGAAGAAGCACCGGCCAACUACGUGCCAGCCGCCGCGGUAAAA
rnacentral:rRNA from 1 species